CUACGUGCCAGCAGCCGCGGUAAUACGGAGGGUGCGAGCGUUAAUCGGAAUAACUGGGCGUAAAGGGCACGCAGGCGGUGACUUAAGUGAGGUGUGAAAGCCCCGGGCUUAACCUGGGAAUUGCAUUUCAUACUGGGUCGCUAGAGUACUUUAGGGAGGGGUAGAAUUCCACGUGUAGCGGUGAAAUGCGUAGAGAUGUGGAGGAAUACCGAAGGCGAAGGCAGCCCCUUGGGAAUGUACUGACGCUCAUGUGCGAAAGCGUGGGGAGCAAACAGGAUUAGAUACCCUGGUAGUCCACGCUGUAAACGAUGUCGAUUUGGGGGUUGAACUUUAGGUUUGGCGCCCGUAGCUAACGUGAUAAAUCGACCGCCUGGGGAGUACGGCCGCAAGGUUAAAACUCAAGUGAAUUGACGGGGGCCCGCACAAGCGGUGGAGCAUGUGGUUUAAUUCGAUGCAACGCGAAGAACCUUACCUACUCUUGACAUCC
rnacentral:rRNA from 1 species